GCAAACUUGGUCAUUUAGAGGAAGUAAAAGUCGUAACAAGGUCUCCGUAGGUGAACCUGCGGAGGGAUCAUUAACGAAUGGUCUUGGUACCUUCAAAACCCCUCAAACCAGUGGACAUGAAAAAUGUGCUUCGGCGCUCCGGCGCCGCUUUUAUGCUGUAAUUCUGUCGUUUGUGUCUGAAUACAAAACAAAGAAUUAAAACUUUCAACAAAGGAUCUCUUGGCUCUCCUGCGGAGGGAUCAUUAACGAAUGGUCUUGGUACCUUCAAAACCCCUCAAACCAGUGGACAUGAAAAAUGUGCUUCGGCGCUCCGGCGCCGCUUUUAUGCUGUAAUUCUGUCGUUUGUGUCUGAAUACAAAACAAAGAAUUAAAACUUUCAACAAAGGAUCUCUUGGCUCUCGCAUCGAUGAAGAACGCAGC
rnacentral:misc_RNA from 1 species